CUCUAGAGGGAAGCGAUUUCUGUGAUCUGAAAGAAAAGAAAAUGGUUCCCUUUAGAGUGU
rnacentral:pre_miRNA from 1 species